AGGGAUGCGUUCUGGAACCUUAAGGCAGAUGAUUAUACAAUACAUCUUAAUCUGAGAGUGGGGUUUGGAGAGGAGGGGUGCAAGGCCCAUAAAACAAUGACUCUGCAUGUUAAUGUGCUGUACAAAGGUAGAGAGGCUGCAAAUUGUGGUACCCCAUGCUGGUUCCCCAACUUUCUCCUCUUAAUAAGGUCUCUGUGGAGAGGAUUUGCCCCAGAGGGUGCGAGCUGGGCAGGGUCUGGGUUUGUCUUUCUCCACAGCCCUAUGUUCUCAGCAGAAUCUGCUGCUUUUGCAAUCGGAGUUGAUUACUGAAUAAUGAAUUAUCAUUCUUUUUUCAUUUUCUAGCCCUUUUCAGAAGUGUGCUGCUAUUUUUCUACUUAUUGAGUCUCAAAAUGGAAAGCAAAGAAGAUUUUUCUCUUAGAGGCGGGGAAAACACAAUCUUAACAACCCCAUUUUGGUCCUGCAGGUGAGAGUAAUAAUUGUUUUAAUUAAUUCAGUUUCUGAUUUGGAGUAAUUUAAUUUCUUCCUUGACUGGUCAAUAACAUGUCUAAUGAAGCGAGUUUCUUUGGAAAAUACCAGGCAGGGCCACUUGGUCAGAUCAAAGAAGUUCUUGCCUUCCUGGAGGGCUGCUUCCUCCCUGCUGGGCAGGGUGAGGACAUGAAGGGGUAUCUGGAAAUGGGUGUUCCACUCAAGGAGAAUAGAGCCACACCUGUGUCAGAGAACAGAGGCUUGCUCCAAAGCCUUCAUGGGGUUGCGCUGGAGAGCUGCCUCACACAUCACAAGUCGUGGGAGUUCUAUAAUGUGAGAUUUGUUUUCCUGGGAAGGAGGCUGCAUCCAGCCUGCCUCUCACAUCCACUGUGAAAGAGGAGGUCAGUGCACUAAGGGCAGGUGGCCACAGAUGAGAAAGGACAAUGUCACUGUGUUAGUCAGCUGUAUUAGGCUCACUAACAAAGUAGGGAAACAACAGAAAUUUAUCUUCUCACCAUUCUGAAGGCUGGAAGUCCAAGAUCAAGGUGCCAGAAGGGUUGGUGUCUGGUAAGGUCUCUCCUUGGCUUGCAGAGGGCUGCCCUCUUCCCGCGUCCUCAUAGGUCGGCCCUCUGUCUGUGUGUUGUUUAUAUCUUAAACUCCUCUUUUUAUAAGGACCCAGCCAUAUUGGACUGGGGCUCUUCCAUAUGACUUCAUUUUGCCUUAAUCACCUCUUUACAGACUGUGUCUCCGAAUACAGUAACAUUCUGUGGUAGAGGGUUAGGACUUCAGUGUGUGACUUUUUUUUUUUUUUUUUUUUUGAGGCAGGCAGGGGAAACACAAUUCAGCCCCUAGCAGUCACCCCCACAGACACUGGAAUGAGGAAACCUAGAGUUCUUGGACAGCAAAGUAAGCAGAAACAGCUCGGAGGUUACUUCCUUAAAACUGACCUGUGACCCAGCAACAGGCCUUAAGUUACCACAUUCCAAAGUGCCUGUGGGGAGAAACGGCGCAGCUGGGACUCUGUGCUGUGGCAGCCUAAGCGAACCUCUUCACGGGCUAAUGACAAUUGCAGGCAUUGUUGGGCUGUGUCCUAAGGUGAAUCAACAUAAAGAAAAGCCCUGGCUGCUCGUGCACUGAUAACUUCAUCUUUUCGGACAUCUGGGAACUACCGCCACAAUGUCUGGAAAAAAAAUGACUUCAAACUAAUGCAGCAGAGGCAAACCAUGGUUUGGCCAAAAAUGGAACAGAAUUUACAAGGGAAAAGGGAAGUUCCUGGAGUAAUAUGGUCAGAUGAGGAUGGAACUGGUGAAUGAGCAGAAGAGAAGGUUGGAAGAGUGCAGUGGUGAUGACAGCCCUCCGCUGCUCCUUCCCCAGAGGAAGGAGCUCCAGCCCAGUCUCCUCUUCAAUCAAUGGCUUCAGAAUCUGAAAACUGUCUCAGGACAAGAAAGUUGGCAAAGAAACAUAAUUUUU
rnacentral:lncRNA from 10 species